rnacentral:lncRNA from 1 species
GACCGCCGGGUGAGCCCCAAAAUUCGUCAGUUUCGUGACCUCGGCUCGGCAUCUACUUUCUUAAUAGUGGAUAUUAUUAAAGAAUAUAUUUUGAUAUUAUAGUCACAACUCGUCAAUCGAAAAAAAUGCAAAUAAGCUCAAAAAAUGGAAAAAAGGUGCCUAAAAUCUUCUUUUUUUUUUCACGGAGGUUGUCCAAUCACUGUGCAUGUAUCAAGUAAAGGUUACAGCGCUUCAAGCUUUUUAGCCAAUCACAGGCAGUGUUGUGCACGUACCACUGGCGCGCGCUAUUUCGAGCUUCAGGUGUAGUAAUCUGUCGUCAACAACUGAAUGUUUUAGAGGAAAACACAGGUUUUUGCUGUAUGCAUACAAUUUCGACUCACAGGAAGGUGAUAUCUUUCAGUGGGAAGAGUUACAGAAAAUUCAAGGAGUGUGCAGAUCUUUGGAAGGACGUCAGUUUUGGGUUUGAACUAGAAAACAAAAUUGCUGCGAUUGCGGUCAACUUCGACUUCGACUCGUUCGAGCUGCAGACAGAGCAGUACUCGCCCGGCGCCUCGGGCGGCCGCGGAGGAGUGUACCAGGGAGGCCGUGUUCGAACUGCAACAAGUUCAACAAAAAAGAGGUAUGUCCAACCAGGAUACCAUGCGGGCUGCUACAGGCACUUCUGCAACAUUACAACAAACAAGUGAGCACAGAUGAGAUCAAGGCAAAGAAGGAACAAUAUUUAAAUCAUUGUAUGUCACAUUACUUGUAAAUGUAAAGUUUUUUUUAGGAAAUUCAAUGUAAAGACCUUUCUUGUGAUGCUCUUUUUUGCCAAUUUCCGCCAGAUUCGAUAAAGCAGAUAACUUGUAUCAAAUGGUAUUUGGACAAAUGUAUGAAAUAACCUGCUGAAAAUUUAAAAAAAAACAUGAUUUAGAUAUAGUAGACUGAAGAAGAAUAGCAGAGGCUGGGACCCUGUCAUCCAUGAAUUUUUAAAUUUUAUUUACAAUGUAUAUUUUAUGUGUGUUUUUGCUAAUACAUACGGGUACAUACAUGUUGUAAUGCUUUUUGAGCAAUUGCUUGAAAGAAUGUUUGUUAUUGAAAAUAUUACUUGUAAAUGUAAAGCCUUUUUUGGAGAUUCAAUGUAAAGACCUUUAUUGCGAUGCUCUAUAUUUUGCCAAUUUCCGCCAGAUUCGAUAAAGCAGAUAACUUUUACUAAAUGGCAUUUGGACAAAUGUAUGAAAUUACCUGCUGGAAAUGUUAAAGAACAUGAUUUAGAUAAACUGAAGAAGAAUAGCAGAGGCUGCGACCCUGCCAUCCAUGAAUAUAUAAUUUUUUUUAUCUAUAAUGUAUAUUUUAUGUGUAUUUUUGCUAAAACAUACAUACAUGUGAUCGCUUGAAAGAAUGUUUGUUAUUGAAAUUUUUUUAAUGUGAAUUGACAAUGUGUUGUAUAACUGAUGAUGAAUCAUUUCUCUACAUCAACCCAAAGAGCAGUAUCCAUAUAGUCAAGCAGGCUUACAAUUUUAUUGACCAUGUAUUUUGAGAAUGUGAGAUAGUAAUAUGUCAUAUAUUUGAUGUGAAACCAGAUUAUAAUUGGUCAAACAUGCCUUACAAA